rnacentral:rRNA from 1 species
AUUGAACGCUGGCGGCAGGCUUAACACAUGCAAGUCGAGCGGGGGAAGGUAGCUUGCUACUGGACCUAGCGGCGGACGGGUGAGUAAUGCUUAGGAAUCUGCCUAUUAGUGGGGGACAACAUCUCGAAGGGGAUGCUAAUACCGCAUACGUCCUACGGGAGAAAGCAGGGGAUCUUCGGACCCUGCGCUAAUAGAUGAGCCUAAGUCGGAUUAGCUAGUUGGUGGGGUAAAGGCCUACCAAGGCGACGAUCUGUAGCGGGUCUGAGAGGAUGAUCCGCCACACUGGGACUGAGACACGGCCCAGACUCCUACGGGAGGCAGCAGUGGGGAAUAUUGGACAAUGGGGGGAACCCUGAUCCAGCCAUGCCGCGUGUGUGAAGAAGGCCUUAUGGUUGUAAAGCACUUUAAGCGAGGAGGAGGCUACUCUAGUUAAUACCUAGGGAUAGUGGACGUUACUCGCAGAAUAAGCACCGGCUAACUCUGUGCCAGCCGCCGCAGUAA